rnacentral:rRNA from 1 species
AGAGUUUGAUCAUGGCUCAGAACGAACGCUGGCGGCGUGCCUAACACAUGCAAGUCGAGCGAGAAAGUUCCUUCGGGAACGAGUACAGCGGCGCACGGGUGAGUAACACGUAGGUAACCUACCCUCGAGCCCGGAAUAACCCGUCGAAAGAUGGGCUAAUGCCGGAUGGGACCACGGUGGUCACGGCCACCGCGGUGAAAGAUGGCCUCUGUUCACAUGCUAUUACUCGAGGAUGGGCCUGCGCGCCAUUAGCUAGUUGGUGAGGUAACGGCUCACCAAGGCGAUGAUGGCUAGCUGGUCUGAGAGGAUGACCAGCCACACUGGGACUGACACACGGCCCAGACUCCUACGGGAGGCAGCAGUGGGGGAUAUUGCGCAAUGGGCGAAAGCCUGACGCAGCGACGCCGCGUGGGUGAUGAAGGCCUUCGGGUCGUAAAGCCCUGUCGAGGGGGACGAAUCAGUUUGGUCCUAAUACGACCAGACCCUGACGGUACCCCUAAAGGAAGCACCGGCUAACUCCGUGCCAGCAGCCGCGGUAAUACGGAGGGUGCAAGCGUUGUUCGGAAUCACUGGGCGUAAAGGGCGUGUAGGCGGCCCGCCAAGUCUGAUGUGAAAGCCCGAGGCUUACCCUCGGAAGUGCAUUGGAAACUGGCGGACUGGAGUCCCGGAGAGGAGGGUGGAAUUCCUGGUGUAGCGGUGAAAUGCGUAGAUAUCAGGAGGAACACCGGUGGCGAAGGCGGCCCUCUGGACGGUGACUGACGCUGAGACGCGAAAGCGUGGGGAGCAAACAGGAUUAGAUACCCCCGUAGUCC